AAUAAAUUCUGUCACGUCUUCGUUGUGGGCGGCGCUAUUGCACGCCAUACAUUCCUCAUAUUUGACGCUCACAGACAGUCCAGGGUUACCAGACAGAACCGUGUCAGAAAUAGAAGAACCAUCUCGCAAAGGGCAAAAGGAAGACUACGACUAGGGACCCUGAAUUUACUGGAGGAAGGUGAAAGAAACUCAACGUAUUCCUAAAACCCGAACGGAAAAAACAAAAAGAUAACGUAGCACUAGAAAUCACUUUAAGGCUCAGAUUGAACAAGAGACACGAACGGGACCCUAGCGGAUUAUUGUGACACACGGUGCUCUCUCCACGCAGCCUUAAAAUGAAAAGAUUGAAUUUGCCAGUCAUCAAUCAUCAUAUUGUACCUUUAAUUGUCAUGUCUUUUUUUUCUUUUUGCUACCUUGCUGAGUUUUAUUAUUACUGAAUCUGGUGUUGGUUUUGGUGUUUUUGAUUGAAGCUCAACGAUUUUGUUUUUGUAUUUUUUUUUGGAAAUUAGAAAUAUUUUUCUAUGUGAAAUCAGUGUCAUGGAAAACUGAGCAUCACAUAGGCUUUAUGGACGGCAUUAACCCUUUGGCUGCCAGCGGCAGGCCGUCAGCAGAAGGGUUAAUAAGACUGGAGACCCCCUUUCCCCUCUUCUAAAUCCCGUUUGAGAGAAGGCACAUUCAUCAUGUGCAACUCUACAUUUCUUCCUCACCGUGCCCCCAAGAAAUAAUCAGCCGAAAGGCUUGAUCUCUUCCUGACUGAUAACCACCGAUUUUGCAUUAGAAAGGUGACAGUACUUAAUGAAACUCAGCACCAAAGGGCAUAAGGCAGUUGAAGGUUAGUUUGUUCUAACAGCACCAAUCCCAUAAAUUCUCGACACUUGGUGUAUAAUGUAUAAAACACUGAACGGAGGAAAUCGUCUUCCGCCUUAGAACUUAGUAUGGAUGUCUCAAUAUCGACUCUUGCGUCUACAUCACCAAAGAAGAGUUAUUUUUUUGUUUGUUUUUUUACUUACAAAACAUAGAGAAUAUCUUUGUGUACAUACGGCCACCGGAUAAAGAGAGAGAGGAAUAGAGAGAGAGAGAGAGAGAGAGAAGCUCAGCGGAAGCUUCCGGUCACUGUGCCUUUUGUUAUUUUUCAAUAAGCUGUGUUUUUUUGUUUUCGUAAACAAAAAUAAGGUUCCUCCAUACGUGGAGCUUUAGAGAGAAGACUCGUAUUGUAGCAACUCAUACAGGAGAGGACCGUCUCUGUACCUAAUGCCUACAGCAGAGGGGGUGAUGUACUGAAGAAUGUUGAUAGUCCUUCUUAACCGUCUGUCUACAAAAUGUGCAUCCCAUGCUGGAUACCUUUUCCUUGGCAUGUCGAUCUUUAUGAGCGGCCCUUCUGGAUAAUAAGGGCGCCCUGAUGGAGUAGUUGGCACCAUUGGUCUCACCUGGAAAACUGGCAAGCACGUGUCUGCUGUUAGGUCAUCCUGUUGCUCCGCAACUGCUCUAGUUGGCGUUGCCUCUGCUCCGCGAUACCCUGGGGUUUGAGGUGCCAUGGGUUCAACGUCGGGAGGUAAAGGAAUACCCCAGAGCAGCUCGGCGCAACAGGAACUGGCAAAUAUCUUAGCACGUGGCCCCGUGGGAUGCAAGACACCAUAAUAGAGAACUAUGAAUGCUACCCCAACAGCAAAACAAAGAAAAACACAACACAGUGCUGGCACGGCAAAUGAGUCAGUGUUAGGAUCUCUGUAAAAAUACCAAAGGAACGUCAAGGCAGCAUUCUCUGUCAGGAUAACAGUGUAAUAAGCAAACAUUCGGUAUCGAGUCCGGCCUUCCUUGACGUUAAACCAGCAGAAAAUGUACACAAUUCCUACCACCAUGUUGAAGAGAAUUUCCUCCCACUUGGACAUACAGAAGUCUGUCCCACCAUGGAUGAUCCAGAAGGCCAUGAUGCACCAGUGGACCACCACAAAGAUUCCGAAGUAGAGCUGGAAGAUGGAAGCAAAGAGGGCAAAAGAAAUAACUCUGGAUGAGAUGGUGAAAAGUCGCCAGAAGAUAUGGAUGAGCGCCCCUCUGUAGCUCAUGCUCUUCUUGUCAUCCCUGGAGUCACGUAAGAGUUUGUGAUAGGAGGCUAGCACCCAAGCGAGGGACAUUAGGGAGGCCACAGAGGAAACACCUGCCAAACAACACGCACAGGGUCAUUGCAUUAUUUCCACUUUCACAAUUAAAACAUUAAAGGCUGUCUACUUGUGGAUAGAUUAUGGAUUAA